GUCAUACUCCCUUCAUUCGGAAUUACUUGUCACAGAAAUGAAUUGAAAUGGAUGUAUAUAGAACUAAAAUACAUCUAGAUACAUCCAUCUUUCCGACAAGUAUUUCCGGACGGAGGGGGUAUCUU
rfam:Hordeum vulgare subsp. vulgare, WGS project CAJW01000000 data, contig: morex_contig_45970